rnacentral:tRNA from 1 species
UCUAAUAUGGCAGAAACAGUGCAAUGGAUUUAAAUCCCAUUCAUAAAGUAUAAUCCUUUUUUUAGAA